UACGAAGGGGGCUAGCGUUGCUCGGAAUCACUGGGCGUAAAGCGCACGUAGGCGGCUUUUUAAGUCAGGGGUGAAAUCCUGGAGCUCAACUCCAGAACUGCCUUUGAUACUGGGAAGCUUGAGUCCGGGAGAGGUGAGUGGAACUCCGAGUGUAGAGGUGAAAUUCGUAGAUAUUCGGAAGAACACCAGUGGCGAAGGCGGCUCACUGGCCCGGUACUGACGCUGAGGCGCGACAGCGUGGGGAGCAAACAGG
rnacentral:rRNA from 1 species